AUGCGGCCACAUUAACAAUCAGUUUACCACGUGCACAUCCGGCCACAUUAACAAUCAGUUCACCAGAAACGGCACAAAGCCAGUACGUACGUACAUAAUCAACGGCAGGAUAACACUUAUUAAGCAGUAGGGGGUCACUUGCAGUACGACACCUUCUCCACCAUGGUAUUCCCAUCCAAGAUUACCACCUUCAGGAAGGACUCCACCGGCUUGAACACCAGGAAGGAGCCGACCUGAAGCUGAUGAGCAUUGACAAAGUGGGACCAGCCAUCCUGAAAGUACGCCUUGCCAUCCUCGAGGAUCCUCAUCCUCACUGUCAAGACACAUCCGUUGCACGAUCUCAGUUCCACGCUGCUACUUUUCGCUGCAGCAUCACCAAGCCAGAGAUCCAGGAAGUUUUUAGGAAUUAGACCGAGUAGGGCUUGCAGGUGCCGCAUUGAUAUGGCCAACCUUCGGCGGCCUCCCCUGCUUCCUGGGAGCAGUAGCAUGUGCAUCCUCUUCAGAGCCCUCCGAUGCAAUCAGCUUCUCCCCUGAUGCAUCCUCCAGCUUGAUCUGUUUAUACGAUGAGCACAUAUCAAAAAUAUAAACCACAUGCAUGGCGGGUAAAAAUCGAAUCACCAAUGCAAUUUUAAACACAUCGUAUUACCUACAUCUACAUCUACCAAGACACCUUACACAGAAGCAUAAAUCAGAUCGAGCAAGUAAGAUUCUUCUUUAGGUGGCCUCAGCUCUAACAUCGUCGACCGGACGACCAUUAAAAUCUCCUCCCAAAUCGAACAAAUUAAUUAAGCUACCGCACAAAAUAAUCCAAAACAGUGCAUCGUAACCGGCCCCAGGGUUUCCGAGUACUUACAGACAUUGUUAUCGCCGCCGCCGUAGAGGAAGUAGUCGAUCUUGAAUCCGCCGCGCGCCGCCGAGGCAGUAGAGAAAGCAGACGCCGCAAAGCUGUGGUGUUUGUCGCUGAGUAGGGGC
rnacentral:lncRNA from 1 species